rnacentral:rRNA from 1 species
UACGGAGGGUGCAAGCGUUAUCCGGAUUUACUGGGUUUAAAGGGUGCGUAGGCGGGCCAUUAAGUCAGUGGUGAAAGCUCUGAGCUUAACUCGGAAACUGCCAUUGAUACUAUUGGUCUUGAAUUCGGUCGAGGUUGGCGGAAUGUGUCGUGUAGCGGUGAAAUGCCUAGAUAUGACACAGAACACCGAUUGCGAAGGCAGCUAGCUAGACCGACAUUGACGCUGAGGCACGAAAGCGUGGGGAUCAAACAGG